rnacentral:rRNA from 1 species
UACGUAGGGGGCUAGCGUUGUCCGGAAUCAUUGGGCGUAAAGCGCGUGUAGGCGGUCCGAUAAGUCCGCUGUGAAAGUCGGGGGCUCAACCCUCGGAUGCCGGUGGAUACUGUCGGGCUUGAGUACGGAAGAGGCGAGUGGAAUUCCUGGUGUAGCGGUGAAAUGCGCAGAUAUCGGGAAGAACACCCGUGGCGAAGGCGGUUCUCUGGGACGGUACUGACGCUGAGACGCGAAAGCGUGGGGAGCGAACAGG